rnacentral:rRNA from 1 species
CGUAGGUGGCAAGCGUUGUCCGGAUUUAUUGGGUUUAAAGGGUGCGUAGGCGGUCUAUUAAGUCAGUUGUGAAAUACGGCAGCUCAACUGUCGAGGUGCAAUUGAUACUGAUGGACUUGAGUACUGAUGAGGUAUGCGGAAUGGACGGUGUAGCGGUGAAAUGCUUAGAUAUCGUCCAGAACACCGAUAGCGAAGGCAGCAUACUAAGGAGUAACUGACGCUGAGGCACGAAAGUGUGGGGAUCAAACAGGAUUAGAUACCCUGGUAGUCCACACUGUAAACGAUGAUCACUCGAUGUUGGCGAUACACAGCCAGCGUCUUAGCAAAAGCGAUAAGUGAUCCACCUGGGGAGUACGCCGGCAACGGUG